AGCUAAUCGUGUUAAAUAUUUUUUUCCGCGGUUUUCUGCGAUCGUAAGUGAAAACGUUUUAACGAUUUUUUUUUCUUCGUAAUAAAUUCUCUUCUUUUUUUUUUUUUUUUUGCGUAUUACUAACCGAGAAAAAAGCUUAAGCGAGUAAACCGCAUAGCGUGUUAUUAUUAUUAAUAGGCACCUUAUCGUUACGCGUUACCUACUCGUAAAGUCAUGAUUUAAUGUUAGAAUCGACCUAUAUGUAUACCUAACGGCGUAUUACAUUAUA